GUCUCCUCUCUCUCUCUCUCUCUCUCUCUCUCUCUCUCUCUCUCGCUCUCGCUUCGGCCCUGUCUUCUUUUUCUUAAGAGUAAGUACUCACAUACGGCACGAGUGACUGACUGGCUGGCUGACUAGCUAGCUCAGCUUGUUCAGCUCGCUCAGCCAGCUAGCCAGAGCCGUCUGCUUGCCUCUGCCGUCUCGCUUGGACUCGAGAUCGAUGGAAAGCCGUUCGACGAGCCUGUUUAUGGUUAUGGAACGACGAGAGAUGACGAACCCUGACCCUCCUUGUCCCGAUAGCUGUCCCGAUAGCUGUCCCGAUAGCGUGUCUCCGAUACGCGUAACGCUCGGAGAACCCACGACGACUCGGAGAUGGAUAGUCGCUUCUUUAUUAUUUUCCUUGCGCGACUAAUUGCUCACUGUUCGUUGGUCUAUCGAUAAAGUACAACCGACGAGAUUGCGACUUCUUCGUAGAAUCAGCGUGGGGGAGAUGAAAGACGAGAGAGAGAGGGAGAGGGAGGGAGAGAGAGAGAGAGAGAGAGAGAGAGAGAGAGAGAGAGAGAGAGAGAGAGAGAGAGAGAUGCCCGUUCAAGACUUUCCUUUUCCUCUCUUUUUUCCAUAUGAGAAGAAUCUUUUGUUUUCUUCGAUGACAUCGGAAUAUAUGUAUUUACAUAGCUAGAGAUUACGCGAAUCUGAUGGACUAUGACUGAAUUUUGAUUAAUAUCUUUUCAUCCAUUUGUAAAACGUACUAUUUCUCUUCGUCGUAAUAUCUACCGAUUCGAUACUCGUAUAAACGCUAAAGAAUGGAAAAUGAUAAAAACGAAUGAUCAAGGUCUCAUUUGACGCACUAUCGCAUUAAUAAGAGAAAACUUUUGAUCCGAAUGUCCAACGAUCGUGUCACCGCCGCCGCCGCCAUUCGUCGAUAAAGCAUUAAAACGUUUUCCAACGUAUCAUACGUACGUAUGUCCGAUUCGCGAACACGCUUGGCGCAACCUGAAAGGUUGCGUUUAACGGCUUUUACAGAAUGGAAUAAAAACGUGGAUUGACGGAGACUCGCUUUUAAUCGAGGAAAAGGGGAGUAGGUAAUAGCGAAAUACAGAUAAUAUCCGAGUCUUCGUCCGAAUCGGUUGGUUUUAUCGGCGAUCCUUUUUCAUUUAUCGUCACAUUUUAUGCAUCGUUCGACGAGUACGGUGGGCGUCGACGAGGAACGCGAUUGCGCUCUCAUGCCCCCCCCCCUCUCUCUCUCUCUCUUUCUCUUUUCUCUCGACCGUAUAUAUCUCGCGGUACAUGUAUGCAUGUGUACGCGCGAACGGAACCUGAACUCUGGCGAUCGAGAGAGAAAGAGAGAGAGAGAGAGAGAGAGAGAACCAAUGGGAAGGCAGAACGAGAGGGCAUCGUUACGUCGUCGUCGACGACGGCGGUACUGCCGGCAGCGGCUUCCAAGCUGGCUGCUCUCGGUGGCAUUACUCGAUAAGGCGCAUUUUCUCGCGAACCUAUACAUAUAUCGGCAAAGCCAGCUGCCAGGAGACAGGCCGAGCUUAGACCAUGCGACGACAACGAUGAGAGAGGUCUAUGAGGAGGGACGUAACUUUGUCGAUUAUCGUUCGAUCGAAUCAUUUUGCAAGCACGGUAAAAGAGGGGGAGUAAACGUGCUGUGUGUGCGAGAGAGACAGAGACAGAGAGAAAGGGAAGAAUAUUUAUUGUAGUAAGAGAUCGAGUCCUGCAGGUAGAAAAUUAUAGCAUAUAUAUAUAUAUAUAUAUAUAUAUAUAUAUAAUAUAUAUGGAGAAUCAAUACAAGGAUCAAGAUACUUCACUUUGCAUUCAUUUCGAAUUACAUAUACAUAUUUCACAUAUCACUGUUAAAUCGCUACUAUUUCUAGCGUUCAAUUAGUAACGAGUUUUACGAGGUAGCUGUUACUAUUCCUACAAAGGUAUACUUGGUAGGUAUUUGUUCUGCAUUGUGGCGAUAGAAAAAAGCGGAAAAUAAUGAGAGAGAGAGAGAGAGAGAGAGAGAAAAGGAGAACGGCAAUGAAAUCGGCCGACUUUGGUUAGCGAAACGACGACAACGAUGACGAUCGUUCGCUCCGUUCUCGAAGCGAGUUUACGAACCCGUUUCGAGUGGCGUCCCUUCUCUAUUCGUGCCAGCACCUUCGUCGACCGGCUUCUUGGCUUACCUACCUUCUUUUCAGAUUUCGUAACCGAGCUUGACCGAUCUCAACGACGCACGAAACGAGAGCGUCCUCCUCCACCACCUCCAUCUACUCCAUCGUCUUCUUUUUCCGUAACUUCGUUGGCCUUUUUUGGAUUCGCACGAUCCGAUCGCGGAAAAUCGAUCGACCAUAUAUAGGAUGUUCCAUUUCGAUUGAUCCAUUUCAAACGUAAUCGUCGAGGGAUAGUCGUCGGGAGGUCACGAACCUACGGUUCUUCUUUUCUUCGGUGGAGGAGUAGGAAGUUAGUUAUAUGGUUCCUUUAGACGCGUUCGAGCACAUCGACGCGUCCUUUUAUUUCUUGCUCGGUCUUGUCUGCCCAAUUCUGAGAAUCGAGAGAAACCCGUUCGUACGAGCGAUGUCGGUUUUAUCGUUCCUCCCUAUAUACACGCGACUACGUGUGCGCGAUAAAAAGAGUAAGAAAAUGGCAUAGAAAAGGAGGGAGAGAGAGAGAGAGAGAGAGGAAAAGGUAAGGGAGAAAAGGGACGAGACGUACGAGAGUCCCUUCGUUUCUGUUUCUCUCUCUCUCUUUAUUCCGUCUCGUUCUCUCCACUCUUCCUCGAUAAUAAUAGGGAGCAAUAUCCGUCCGGCUAAACUAGCAUGGCCGUGUGUUCCUGUUGCAGAACACCGGCUGUUGUUUCGCUAAAUUGACAUUCAAGUAGUAUAUUGGCUCUUAUCGUGGUUAAUGACGUUUGCCAUGGCUCGAUCGGCACGAAGUGUGUGUACUGGCUUUUAUUCGAUUAUGAAUUUAUUUCGUUUAUUCCCCUAUCGUUUAUUCCCGAAUCGUUCAUGGGAUGAUUUUUCUUCAACGAUUAUCUCCCCGAAUUAAUUAGCGAGCGAGUCGGAGAAGAUUCUUGGAAAAGGGUCGAUCGACGCCGACUUAUAUACGUAUCUUUCUCUCUCUCUCUCUCUCUCUCUCUCUCUCUCUCUCUCUCUCUCUCUAUACAUAUACGUAAGUGAUAUCAUAUAAUAAUAAUUAUCGUAUGUUUUGUUUUAAAUAACUGAAACGUAAUUUAGAUACAUGGAAAAAAUGAAAAGAUAAAAAAAAAACGUACGAUAAACGACGCUUUAAGAUUUUCUAUCGAUCGUCGUAUAGCUUCUAUGUAUAUCGAUCCGAGCGUUGAUAGGAUACACAAAAAAGGCGUAUGUUCGUCGUGUUAAUUAAACGGUGCACGUUCCGCGACGGAAAAGCGAACGCGGCAUGACUGCGAACGCGAUAAGUCUUGUCUUGUGUUCGGAGUGACGCCAUGACGAUGUGUCGUACACGGAAUGACACAUGUGCCACGUUGACACGUGCUAACACGCCUACGCCGUAAUUCUCUAAUGAUAGCCUUUGAAUUGUCAUAACUAUUUCCAGUUGCGUUUACCGCCUGACCGUCGUUAUAACUCGAAGAAAAGAAAGAGAGAGAGAAAAAAGAGAAGAAAAAAAAAAGAGAAAAAGGAAGAAGAAGGCGAAAUAGACGAUUCAAUAUUUGAAGUAGAGCCUAGUCAUUUGCAUGACGACUUUAACUCUUCAACGACGACGUCUCUUCGACUUUACUCUAUGGAAAGUGCCUUAAGAGAGUAUCUACUCUAUUCUUCGAAAAAAAAGAGAAAAAAAAUCGAUUUUUUCGUUUCCUUUUUGUAUUUUCUUCGAGUAGAGUAUAAACGUAGUAGUAGGUAUGCGAUUGUACAUACAUACAACACACAUAUAUAUAUAUAUAUGUGCAUGUAUGGAAUGAGAACGAUGCGACUCAGCUGAGUAUAAAAGCAACAAUUUAUUUUACUUCGUUUCGUCGGAACGGUCAGUUUAUUACUUUUUUAUUCCUUUUCUUCUUUUUUCAAAAAAAAAAAAAAAAGAAAUAUCGGAAAAAAAUAUGUGUCGAAAUCGAUUCUAAUCGUUUUCGUUUUGUAACUCGUCCAAUUGGAAACGUCGAGUAAGUGAAACGCAGGAUCGAAAUAACGAGACUUUCGUUCUCGAUCGAUCGAACGCGCGCGCGCUCUUUCCAUACUGUAAUUCCGUCCCUAGGUUGCUCGUAAAUUACGCUCGGUCCAUCGGCCAGUAUCGCGUGGAAAAGAAGCAAGGCGAUCGGCACAGUACGCGCAUUGUAAAUAUACAUACGUAGGUAUACGUAUGUGCGCGCACGUAAGUAAGGAGGGACCUUCGCAGAAACGAUCUGGAAACUGGCACGUUCGAUGCCGAUGCGAGGACUCGAGUGAACUUUGUGAACUAGAUCGCACGCUGCACCCUCUCCUCCACCACCUCCUCCACCUCCUCUUCCUCCUCCUCCUUCUUCUCCUCUUCCUUGUAUCCCGUCGUAAACGAAGCAGAAGCAGAAUAUAAACCAAGCGACUUUUCGAUUAACUUUCAAGCCGUUGUAUUGCCUUUAGGGAGUACUCUUUCGCUCAUGGCCUGUCAAAGAAAUAGGACUAAUUCACAUGGUAAUUGAUAUUUUUCUAUGUUUAUCUAUUCGUGUUUUAGAAAGAGAGAGAUAGAGCAGAGAGAGGGGGGGGGGGCGGAGAGAAAAAGAGAGUAUAAAAGAGAGAAAAAAUACAAAUGUUCUUUUCGUGUCUUUUCGAUCGUAAAUUAAAAUAAUUUUUCGAAAAGAAACCGAAUCGAUUCGCUUUCAUUUUCCGAUAGAGUUUAUUUCUUCGAAAGUUAUUGAAAAUGUCUUUGGGGAAAGCAAUGUCGAGAAGAGGGGGAAAGAGAGAAAGAGAGAAAAUAGAAGCACGAGACCUUUUGGAAAGUUUGAUUCCAAGUGGACUGGUUACUUUAAUUAGCGAGUUUAUUUCGAGGAAUAGUAAUCAUCGUUCGAGGAAGAUCGAGGAUGAUGGUAUAUACGGCACGUUCGUGGAAAGAUUAUUUACGAACGCUUAUCGUAUUUCUUUUUAAGUAAGUCGUGCGGAGAUCUACACGCGUCUAUAUUUACGUGACCGGAGGAUCCUCUCGAUGUGGAUACAAACGUACGUGCUGCCUUUAAAAGCUUUUUCAAAAUAAGACAUCGGUGUUACUAUCUACGUAGAUACGUAGGCGUGUACGCGUGCAUGGAGAUGAGAAUACCAUAAUGUAAUGUCUUUCGUAUUUUGGUAGGUCCAUAUCGAGAACACGUGGCAAGUUAAACGCUUAGCGUAGAGGAUAUGCAUGCAUGAUGAUGUAUAUAUGUACGUAUGUAUGUAUAUAUGAUGUGUGUACGUCGUACGCACGCAAGAAGACGAGCUUGGGAGACUACUUCUCUGGACGAUCGUUCAUCGACGACGAAAAGUCCACGAGUAAUACAUAAAAGACAUAAGAGGAGCGUGUCGAAACGAGCGCGGUUUCUCUAUCCUACUUUUGUAAACGCUCGCGUUCGUGCCACGGCCGAUCCGUUCACGUUCGACUUUGUACGUACGUUGGUACGGACGUACCAAAGUAUCCUGCAUUUCGCGAAAAUACUGCAACUUUAUCUCGCUUUCGAGUCCUCCUUCGUUUCUUUCUCCUUUUUAUCGUAUUUUUUUAUUCGAUACAUUGUAUUUCUUUCUUUCCUUCUCUCUCUCUCUCUCGCUUGUUUUUUUUUAUUAACAUCUGGAAUCCAUAACGAUAAUGGUAACGAUAAUGAUAAGAAUUGCGAGCGUAUCGUUUUCUGUAUGCAGAUACAUUCCACUAAACCGACAAAAUCGGCACAAAGAAAUAAAGCGCGCAAGAAGAUUAAUGCAAUUUUGCAAGAGAUGCACGAGCUAGAUGUGGGUCGGUCUCUCACAAUGCAACGACGUACCGCCCAUCAUCGUCUCGCAUACCACGUCUAUCUAUGCCGAAGAUAGCACGCUGCUCGGAUUUCAUUUCAUUCGUUUUUGCCUCCGUAGUCUAUGUAUGUAUAAAAUGCGCUUAGCACAUUAAGGAUCUACAUUUUAGAUCCGCUUUUAUCUUCGCUUUGUCGUCCCUGAUAAAAAGUAUUAUAUCGUCUGGUAAUUAAGUCGGACGGGUGAUGGGUAAGAAAGAGAGAAAGAAAAAAGAAAAGAAAAGAAAAAGAGAAAUAAUGGAAGAAAAUUUUCACGAGAAAAGAACUACCUUGAACGAUUUGUGAGAAAAAGAGAGAUAGAGAACGCAGUCGUUAUUUUACAAGUAAGAAAAGAGAAAAAGAAUAGGAUGGGCGAACUGUCAUUUCCAGUCGAGUUCUUUCAAUCCCAUCAAAAGAGAACGCGAUGUCGGCUAGAGAAGCGAAAAGAGUGAAAAAGAA